rnacentral:RNase_P_RNA from 1 species
UGGGAUAAAUGGCCGCGGCUGGCAGACCGAAAGGUGCCAGACGAGGAAAGUCCGGGCUUCACAGGGCAGGAUGCCGGAUAACGUCCGGUGGAGGCAACUCUAAGGAUAGUGCAACAGAAAUAUACCGCCGGGAGACCGGUAAGGUUGGAAGGGCAGUGUAAGAGACUACCGCCUCUCUGGCAACAGAGAGGGCAUAUGUAAACCCCAUCCGAAGCAAGACCGAACAAAAGCAUAUGGCGGCCCGUCAGCUUUAGGUAGGUCGCUCGAGCCUGGUGGCGACAUCAGGCCUAGAUAGAUGGCCAUUCACGACAUAACCCGGCUUACCGUCCCGCUUAU